CAAGCGGUUCCUUAUUCAUGUGACACAAGCAGGAACGAAUGUCAUCGAGGAAAAACGACGUGUGUGGAAUGAACUGCAGUAGAAUAGGCUUUAUGUUAGCUAGCUUGUAUAUUUUAUGUCUGAAUUUGAUCAGAUAGCAAGUGUGAACAACAUGAUGAUUGAUAAUGGAAGAUCGAAUGUGGUCGUCGACAUUAUUUUUAGCCAAAUGAGCUUGGCUGGAGAUGAUCAUGGGACGAUACACUAAUUGUGCUCAAUAGCUUUUGUACAUCUCAGAGGCAGAGGAUGAGCAUGGAGAAGAGCUGUCAGAAGAUGAAGAGACUGAAGAGGAGGAUGGACCGAUCGAUGAAGAAGCCCAACUUAAGGCAAGCAUGGGACUGCCUGUGGAGUUCAUAACUUCAUCUGCACAGAAAAGAGCUGUACGUAGUAGCAAGUAAACAUUGCCUAUGUCUGUCCGUCACCAUAGAGUCCACCUAAAAGAAAGAAAAAAGAUAAUGUUGCUCCGAUGCUCUCUCUCUUGAAGGGGAGAAAGUUGAUGAGGAAGAAUGCCAUCCACUGGGAAGCAGCUCCUGAGAAUCUGCAUGAAGAAGAUCCACAUUCACUCCAGGUGGAGAAGAAUGAUCCCACUGUUGAAAGCACCAAGGCUGCGUUUGAUUUGAUCUCAGUGAGGGGCCAGGAGGAAAAGCAGAACCUCCACUCUCCCAGGCAAAAGUAGUGCACUAUAUAGGGAAUUGGGUGCCAUUUGGGACACAUCCUGUGACAACAAAGACAGGAGACAAAAACUAAUAUGUACCACUUUGGAAUCGAUUGCCACUUGUGCAAAGCCCUUUCUCUUCCCCCAGAGCAGUGGAUAGGUCUCGUCACUGAGGAGGGCUUCCCUCACGCCUCCAGGUGAGAUGCCCAGAAGGUGGCCACUUUUUAGGGCCUUCACACACUCCUCCUGGGGCCCGUGGAUGACACUGAACACCUCCAACAGCAGCUUGAACCCUACAGAGAACAAGAAAAGGUCCUGCUUUUAGGGUCUAAGUAGCUCAUGUAGUAAGAAUGGACUACGGCAGCUGUAGGCUAUACACUUUACUGAUCAACUAGAUACAGAGGGCUGAAUGUAACAUCUCACUUUUAGAUUUAGAUACUGGGAAAUGGAACUGUGAAGAUCUUACCUGGAACUUUGAACAGAAAGUAAUCAGCAACUGAGUGAACAAUCCGUCCCUUUUGAAUGAUGACCUUUGCCAGAAAGUAAUAAUAGUCAAUGGGAAUAGCCCCAUGAUAAUAGACUAUAAGAGCUGCUCCUUCAUCUGGAAUCUUCUCCAUACCAUGGAUUUCAUAUCCUGUUUUGAAAUAGAGACAUUUAUAUAAGCAUUGGCAAUAGUCAUUGACUAAUCAAGCAGCGCACUCAUUGAAACAGAGCCGAUGGAGAGCCGACUCCCUGUCGUGACCCAGGAGAGUCAGAGUUUGGAGGAAGACUGAAGUGAAGUCAGGUGGGCACUAGUGAAGUGAUCGAUCUGAUUGGGCAGACUUUUGUCAGUGGUAGCUGGGCAGUGUGAUUAGGGCCAACAGCAAGCAGACCAUGUCAGUGGUAAUGAUGAUAAACCUUGUGAUGGUGGUAAUCACAAAAGAGCUGCCUCCUCAAACACCAAGUCCACUGAGUCAAGAGGACCAUGUGACACAGGCCCACGCAUUUGUAAUGGCUCUUCUUGUCGUAGAGAACAGUGGCGCGCACCACUGCCUGACUCGACGUCUCCCUCUCCUCUGGGAUUUUCCAUCCUGUCCGUGACUGAUCCCAUACAACACAACACUGCCCUCAUUUAUAUGGCAUAGUAUAUCUGUUUUAUCUGGCUUUGUAGCAAUGUUUUAUAUCACAUGCCAACUUCCUUUUCCCUGUUUUAUCCUUUUGAUCAGAAAACAUGAAUGUAGAGUGUAAUGUUGAAGGGAUGAAUGAAUGUACACGUUUCUUCCCUCCAGACACAGGAUGGGUGUUCCCAGAAAAAUAACAAUGGAUUGAGUGAGAGAAGAGCAUCUAAUAAUGAAGGUGACGAUGGUGAUCAAAUGCCACAUAGAAGAAUUGCAAAAGUAAAGCGGAGUCAUGAACUGGAUGUGGAGGAGAACCCUCAGAUGUCUGUAGAGGAAGCCUGGGAUAAACUGGGAUUAAAGCGCAGCCACGACCCCAUGUUUGAGAGUGUGCUGAAGUUUAAGCCCCAGUCACCACCAGGGUGGGAAGGUUGGGAGGAAUAGGAAGCUACAUGGAGGUAGGAGAGCAUCCGGCCACAUCAACAAGCACACCUUCUUUACUGAAGAGGGAGAUGCCACAGAGCCCAAGCUGAGCAAGACCUUUCAAAAAAUCACUCACUCAUGUCCUGAUCUGUCUUCAGGUUCAGAGAUUCCUCCAGAAAGUUCAGAAAGAUAAUGACACAGCUGUCCCAGACACACCGGUUGACCAGGCAAACGGAGGGAGCCCUGCUUGUCCAUUUGCAGAGGGAAAAGAAGAAAGACUGGAGGAAGAGGAGCAGGAAGAUGGGAGGGGGGAAUACCCCUCUGGAGUUGGAUAGUACUGAGCAACCCUCUCAUCAGAACCUCUUCACCAGAAUAGAAGAUGAGGAGGAAGAGGAUGAUGAGAUUAAAUUCAGAAGAGAGGUGUACUCACUGGACAUACCAGACUACUUAGUUCCCGGAGCACCUGAACACAAUAACACAGAGGCCACUGGGAAGAAAAACAAGAACAAGAAUACCAAGAAAAGAGGGAAAUGUGGAGUGAUGCCAGCUGAGAUUGCAGUGCUGGCUAAGUACUGGGCCCGAGCUGGCUAAGUACUGGGCCCGAGCUGGCUAAGUACUGAGCCCGAGCUGGCUAAGUACUGGGCCCAGUGCUAACGCCUCUUCUCCAGGUUCGAUGAGGGCAUCAAAUUGGAUCAAGUUGAGUCGCAGAGCAAACAGAACACACACACACACUUCAGGAAACACAACCAAUUUCUUCAUAUUGGCUCAAGCAGAAAGGGUUAGUCGUAUUUUGGAACGACUUUACGUUAUUAUUGUUGUUAACGUGUUAAUAUUCCUCUAGUUUGAGAACAACUAUUGUAGUCUCCCAACCACUUCUAUUCAUGCAGCCCAAAUGGAGUGUUGUCAAAUGUGAUUCAGGAAUGCACUUUAUUCUGAAAAGAAAUGGAUUUGCCUCAAGGUUACUGAAUGUUAUCUUUCUCUCCAGUUGAGAAACGGCUGGCUGUUAUGUCCAAGGUAAAAGCUACAGUUUUGCUGCUCUUGAAGUCUAACAUCAUGUUGUUUUCAGAGAGGCAGGGAGGUUGAGAUGGUGGUGUAGUGGGUGCAUGGAUUUGCUGGCUGGCAGACAGGGCACUCCGCUUCCUGUCUGUAGGGAGAAGUGCUGACGCCAGUGAAGCACACCUUACAUUUCACCCUGUGUCACAUGACAUGACAGCAUCAGGCUCUCGCUCCCUGUCUCCCGGCAGAGCAACUCUUUCAUGACUCUCGAGUCUCUCCUUUCCUUUCCUUUACUCUCUCUCCCUUGCAGCUGAAACGGGUGUCACGGAUUCUGUUCCGAGUGCAUCUGCCCACCUGUCUGUUUCUCCUCCCCGGGAGCUGUGCUCAAUUUGUCUCUUCUUUCCCUUGGUUAAUUGUUUGCAGGAAAUAUUUCAAUAUAACAGUCCUAGUGAGUACACAAUCGUAAAAUUUUUUUGGGGGGGGUGUAUCUACCGACGGCCUGUACAGACCCAGAAAGAUACAUCCGUUGUUUUACUCUGCCUGUAAACACGCUGGAUGAUUCAGAAUCCAUUGAAGAGCUUGAACGAUUCAUUGACGAGAGAUACUUAUGAACUCAAAGAAAAAUUGUCGCUGGUUUCUGAGGAUUCAAGCGCUUGUUAAGGACAACAAACCCAAUCAACAAACCAAAGCCAAGUUGGCCAAGCAGUAUCAACGAUGGCAUAAAACCAUCCCCAAGCAAGAGGGCGCGUGUGGAGAGCGGGGAGAGGUUUACGGAUAUGGAUGUUGACUUGUUGAUAUCCAUCAAUGAAAGGCUUGCCAAACUUGAUAUCUUGGAUGUACUACGAGAGGACAUCAAUACAUUAUGUGACAGUCUAGAAUUCAGCCAACGUCAGAUUGAUGAUCUAAGGAAAGAGAACACGGAGCUGAAAGGUACUGUAGACUCUUCAUGGCAAGGUGGAGGUGGUGCAAAGGGAGAACAAACAACUUAAAGAAACCUUGCUUGAUGUACAGUGUCGAUCAAUACGGGACAAACUAAUAUUUUCAGGGAUACCAGAGAAUGACAACAGCAGAAGCUGUGAGGACACAGUCCGAGACUUUAUGUCGACUCAACUAAAACUGCCCACUGAUGUUGUGUGUAAUGUCACUGUCUCCAGAGUCCAUAGAAUGAGUAAGGCCUCUGGAAAAAAGGCCACGGGCUAUUGCAUGUUUUGAACAUUGUAAGCAAAAGGAAAUGGUGAAGAGCUGGGCAGAGAACUCAGAAACACAGAUUUUGGAAUGAAUGAUCACUUCCCCACGGAUAUCCCAUCACGAAGGAAAAGCGUUGCCGGAAUCAACGAGUCUCCUUGGUGAUGGAUAAACUUUGUAUCAACAGGCAACUGUAUCGGGACUCUAGAGUAACUCCCAGGCUAUUUUAAUCCAACUGUAUCGGGACUCUAGAGUAACUCCCUGGCUAUUUUAAUCUAACUGUAUCGGGACUCUAGAGUAACUCCCUGGCUAUUUUAAUCCAUUGUUUAAAUCCGAGUUUGUGUGUUGUAGUGUAUCAUGACAACUUCAACUAUAACGAAUACAUGAUCUAUUGAUCUUCACUUGACAAGGAAAGGGCUGCAUAUAGCUCAGGUUAAUGUAUGUAGCCUUCCUAACAAAAUACAUGAGGUUUUUAACUUGGUCAAGAUAAAUAAUAUUCAUAUUAUAGCUUUGACCGAAACGCAUUUGGAUGCAUUUGUAAAUGAUGGGAAAAUGAACAUCCAUGGAUAUAGUCUACUGAGAAGGGACAGGAAUAGGAAUGGUAGGGGUAUAGCACUGUACAUUCAGAAUCAUAUACCUUUUAAGAGGAAGAAUGACCUUAAUGUAUGUCAAGUAGAGGCACUAUGGGCUCAGGAUCAUCUGCCUCACCAGGCACCCAUAUUGGUAGGAUGUGUGUAUAGACCUCCGAGCUCUAAGGUGUCCUAUCUGGAUGACUUACGCACUGGGUUUGACCAGGCCACAAAUAGUAACAGAGAUGUAUUUAUCUUGGGUGAUUUUAAUAUAUAUUGGAAGGAUCAUAAGAAUUCAAAUAUAACCAAAUUUAAUGAUAUAUUCCGAGAGCUGUGGUUUGAAACAAAUGAUUCAUUAUACUACUAGAUCAUCAACUAAGUUAGGUCACCGUUCGGACACAUGCAUUGAUCUGAUAUUCUGUAAUAUACUAUUGCAAUGCUUAAAAGCCAGAUCAAUGCCAGUGGGCUGGACAGACCAUAAUAUUGUGACCAUAACUAUGGUCAAGAGAAAUUUUUAAACAUUUAAUCAUGAGCUAUUUCAAAAUGAUUUGGCCACUGUACCCUGGGAGCUGAUUUAUCUAGAGGAUGAUUUAAAUCACGCUACAGAAUGUUUUAUUGAUUUGCUCACUGAGGUAAUGGACCAUCAUGCCCCAGUAAGAAAGAGUACUGUUGGGGCUCGUCUAUCUCUAUGGAUUGAUGAAUAACUGGCUGAGGCAUUCUCUCAAAUAAUAUGGCAAAAGUCUUAGCAGCCAAAUCUAAACUACAAAUUGAUUAACAGAAUUAUAGAAUACUACGUAAUUAUGCAGUUUAUUUAAAUCGUAAGGGGAAAAAAAUGUUAUUUUACAAAAAAUAUUUGAUUGUAAAAAAUGAUUGUAAAAAGGUAUGGAAUACAGUUAAGGUCCUGCUUAGAACAUCUAUCUCAUCAUAUCCAUCUAGUGCGGAGGUUGACGGGAGAACAAUAACAAAACCAGCUGACAUUGGCAAUUAUUUAUUUUUUUACAAAGAAAAUGAAUUUACUGAGCAAAAAUGUAAACACACAUUCUCCCAAACAAGCAAUUGUCCAAUGGAUUGAUGAUCAUAUCACGAGCAAAAACACCUGCUCUUUUAGUCUACAAAUGGUGUCAGUAGAGGAGGUGUUAAACCUAUUGAAGUCAUUAUCCGAUGGUAAAUCUACAGGUUAUGGACAAAUUUUUUACUUCGCUAUGCUGCUCCCCAGAUUGCAGCUCCACUGAAAUAUAUAUUUAGUUGGUAACUGGAAAAGGGGACAUUUACAAAUGUAUGGAAGCAUGCUAAACUGUGUCCAAUCCCGAAAGACAGCAAAGAACCCAUUACUCCUGCCAAUAGUCUACUCCCUUCACUCAGUAAGAUAUUGGAGGGUAUUGUGAGUAGACAAAUAUGGGAGUACAUGGAAAAUAAUGAUCUGAUUACAGCCAAUAAGCAUGCUAAUUGCAAAAAAAGUUCCACUGCAUUGGUUGACAUGACUGACCAGUGGCUUAAUGCUAUGGAUAAUGUCAGGUUUGUGGGUGUACUAUUUUUAGAUUUUAGUGCAGCAUUUGAUUUAGUGGAUCAUGAAAUAAUUCUGACAGAAUUAUCGCAUUAUGUUUUUAAGGAGGCAGCAUGGAAUUGGGUACAGUAAUAUCUAACUGACAGGAAACAGUCCACCUAUAUCAAUGGGUUGUUUUCUUCACCUCAUGCUUUAAACUGUGGAAUACCGCAGGGCAGCUGCCUUGGGACCCUUCUUUACUGAAUAUAUACCAACGACCUUUCUUAUGCCUUAUCUGAAACUCAACCUACUAUAUUUCCAGAUAAUGCUACAAUUUAUACAGCAGGACAAUUGGUUCAACAGGUACAGCAAGCUCUACAAGUAGAUCUGGGAAAUAUCAGGGAGUGGGUUUGCCUGAACAAACUUGUUUUGAACACCAAUAAAACCAAGGUAUGCAUGAUCAGAAAGAUUGCUGAAUAAUCUUUCCUGGUAAAUAUUUAGCUAACAACCCAAGCAUUAAUUGGGAGUCAGGUAAACUACUGUUCUGUGGUCUGUGGAAAUGCAUCAGCAAAUGAAUUUAGGAGGCUGCAGAUUGAACAGAACAAAGCAGCAAGGAUUGUUUUAAGGUGGAGAUAUGGUUCUUCUGUUGGAGUCAUGCUCAAUGCUAUUGGUUGGUCAUCAAUCAACAAGAUAAUUGAAAAAAAACAUGCUUAUUUUAUUUCACAAUGUGCACCAUUUAAAACAGCCAAACUCUAUUCACAACAGUAUUCAGUUGGUAAGAGACAGACAUUCAGUAAAUACUAGGAAUAGAUUGUCAUCUGUGUUAUCCAGACAGAAAAGAGAAAUAGGCAAAAUAACAUUUCGAUUUAGAGCAAUAAAGAAAUUGAAUAAUUUAUCUGAGAAAACCAGAAACAUUUCGAUAUAUAAAUUCAUACAAUACUUUAGAACCAUUUUAAAUAUAAUAAAUUGGAAGGUUGUGCGGGACUAUGGUAGAUGAAGGAAUCACUCUAUCUUUUCAGACUGUUAGAGUAUUUAUCUGGUCAAUAUGUCAGUGUAUUAUGUCUGUUUGUAACAGUGUGUUAUAUGUGAAAAUGUGAUCGUAUUAUAAAUUGUGCUUUAAUGUUUAAGGACUCUUGGAAGAUUAGUCCAAAUCAGGACUAAAAGAGAUCCUAAUCAAAAUCAAAUAUCUCUCUCUCCCAACAAAAAGAGCAGAGACUGUAGCAGAAAUAAAAGCAACCUUGUACUCUAGAAUGGCAAAUAUUCAUACUGCUAGUUUGGGUUGGGCGGUAUCAGAUUUUCAUACUAUUUCUGUACCAUUCCAGGGAAUACGGCAUUACCGGAAGUGCACACAAGGGGCACUAUUUCACCAAAACAAAAAAACAAUUAUGUCUAUUGUAACCAAGAAUCUUUAUCUUGACAUUUAGCUAGAAGGUUAGCAAACCAAAUGCAUAGCUGGAGCCCUGAGCUGGAUAUCAUUUAUUUGACACAUCUUAGAUUUCUUAUAUUCAUACUUAUAGUUGUAAGCAGAGGCAUAGCAUCCCGCCUACUGUUAGUAGGGUUAUAAAAGUUUUUUUUUAAAAGCUCAGUUUAUACCUCACUGACGGCCUUCUCCAACCUAUUUCUGGGAAAGAGUUUAUCUGUUAUCAGAGGGCCUAUCUCAUCCUUCCGAAUCUCCCUAUUCUCCAAAGUAUUAUGACUAAUAUGUCUUUAGUCUACCUAGCUCAAAUAAGAAGUCUUUCACAGAGCAUUCUGAAUUCUGUUUGAAAACGAGAUCAGAGCCUUCAUAACUAUUCAGUUAUUCAUGUCAACAGAGAAGAGCCUGGAUACAUACCGUAGCAUGGCUGAAACCCACUGCAGAUUACACCUACUCCUAUCAGAAUCCUAUGGUGUCUAUUGCUCAAUUAAGACAUGGGGGUAAAGUCUGAGAAAGUGCCUGUACAGCUUCAUCAUGUGUAGCAGUGCCUGGCUAAUGAUAGAUAGCAGAUUGUGAAGAGGGGUAGUCUAGUCUUCUGGGACUGAAGUGAUGUAGCUCGGUUUUAAAACUUCCGACAUGAUGUUGGCUUCCCUUCAAGAUCUGUUUGAGAAUACAACGCUAACUAGUCGCCCAUAGACAUAGUUGCCAGUAGACAUUAGGGGAAUGCAUAAGCUCAAUAUUUUGUUUGGACCCUCCCUUGAGCCCCAGUAAAGUUAGCACUGGAAAAUCUGUCCUCUCCUCAGUCACUUUUCUCAGAAUGGAGGGAAGGAAGGCAUAAUAAAAGAGUGUGAGAGAUGUGAAGCGCUAAAAGAGUAGAGACCACUCCCAUCAUUGUUUGCCUUAACAGGUGUUUAUUCUCUGAGGAGGCUGUGAAAACAAGCAGCGGAACAGAAAACAGCAAUGACUGCUAGACUCAGUUAGAGAAUGAUGGCAGAUGGUCUAGGGGUCUCCGAGGGGAGACAGGAGGACGUGGUCUAUGAAGCAUCCCAGUCUCUCCACAUAGUCUAAUAUAUCUCAAUAUCCACAGCAUACUUCUUGAAUACUUUUUGUGUUGUCUUGUCUAUACAAGAGAUGAUUAUACUAUUAUAAUCAUAACUAGGCUUUUCCCGGUGUGAUGGCAAACCCACAUCUACUUUAUAUUCCAUCAGGCCUAAUAUUAGUAUUUUGCCUGCAGUAAAAUGUUGUGAAUGACAGCUGUUUUGAAAUGUAACUGUCACUGAUAGUGUUUUGGUGAAGUUGUGCAUGGCACUAGCAUGACUUCAUGAGCCCACAAAAUAAAUCAAUUAGAUUAUAUAUUAUAUUUCUGGACUUGGUUUGAAUAUCAGAAUGGCAGUUUGAACAAAACCAUUUGACACUUGUCUGACCCCUAGUGGCUAUGCUUUGCAUUGGGGACACCUACAGUAUUUCUCUUUGCAAAACCCCCCAAAUCAGAUAAAUUAGGAUUUAUUAAAAUGUGAGUAUUAAAAUGCACUUAAUUUGCCUUGUAUUAUAGUAAAAUGACAGAAAUUAGAAUAUAUAUUAAUUGUAUCUUUGUAUUCAGUUUGUUAAAGCCUUUUACUCCUGUCUGUCUGAACAGAGGGCUGGUUCUCCGUCACCCCAGAGAAGAUAGCCGACCACAUUGACCUGAGGGUCCAGUACAGUUUCCACUCAUAGACACCUUCUGUGGAGUGGGAGGAAAUGCCAUCCAGUUUGCCCUCAAUGUGAAGAGAGUGCUAGCCAUUGACAUUGACCCAGUGCGUCUGGCCCUGGCCCAGCACCACGCCCAGGUCUACGAGGUGGCUGAGCGCAUCGACUUUGUGCAGGGAGACUUCCUAAAGCUGGCACCACGUCUUAGGGGGGAUGUGGUGUUCAGACUACCUCAGCGCAGACGUCUUCAAUAUCAAGAGCAUGAUGGCUCC